GGACCUGUAGCAUAACUGGAUAAUGCACUGCACUACGGAUGCGGAGAUUGGGGGUUCGAACCCCUCCAGGUUCACAA
rnacentral:tRNA from 1 species